GACGAACGCUGGCGGCGUGCCUAAUACAUGCAAGUCGAACGCAUUUUCUUUCACCGUAGCUUGCUACACCGAAAGAAAAUGAGUGGCGAACGGGUGAGUAACACGUGGGUAACCUGCCCAUCAGCGGGGGAUAACACUUGGAAACAGGUGCUAAUACCGCAUAAUUCCAUUUACCGCAUGGUAAAUGGAUGAAAGGCGCUUUUGCGUCACUGAUGGAUGGACCCGCGGUGCAUUAGCUAGUUGGUGGGGUAACGGCCUACCAAGGCUGCGAUGCAUAGCCGACCUGAGAGGGUGAUCGGCCACACUGGGACUGAGACACGGCCCAGACUCCUACGGGAGGCAGCAGUAGGGAAUCUUCGGCAAUGGACGCAAGUCUGACCGAGCAACGCCGCGUGAUUGAAGAAGGUUUUCGGAUCGUAAAACUCUGUUGUUAGAGAAGAACAAGGAUGAGAGUGGAAAGUUCAUCCCUUGACGGUAUCUAACCAGAAAGCCACGGCUGACUACGUG
rnacentral:rRNA from 1 species